AUUAAAAUUUUGUUGCAUGUCAUCAUUAUUUUCUAAUAUAUGAUUUAGACAGGACCAAUGGCUGUAGUUAUGGUUUUGGCGGUUUCUUGUGUGGGUGGAGCUAUCGCGGCAGUAACUGGAGUCGUUUCAGUCUGGCAAUCUUACCUAAGGCAUAAAGCUAGACGUGAAAAAGAGGAAAUCUGUCGUAUCUGCGGAAAACCAGUCAAACUUCGACUAUUAGGAGAACACUUUGAAAAUCAUGGAGAUAAGAAAGGGCAAUCAUCAGAAGAUGAAUACGUUGACAUCAAUGGUGCUGAUACUGCACUGUUUGCAUAACAUGGUGGGUGCGAGGCGAUGAGAGAAAAGGGGGUUUUGCCACUUGCGAAAUGGCGAGGCGUCGGUUGGGUCAUAACUUUGAAAUAGCAAAAGGGUUUGAGGAUAUAUAGUUAAGUUGAUGUGGAGAAGAAAAACUUUCCUUUAGUAGUAAAAUGCACUUGGGUGACUGUUUACAACAAUCGUUCUGUGAGAGUGGUUGCAAGAAUUCUUUGCUUUUGUUCGUUCUGCAACUGGUUGCUUGACUAUGAACAAUUGUUGGUGUGAUGUUUCUUGUUGCGCCCGCAGGAAGUUUAUUCGACUG